UUAACAUAUUCUCAAUGCUCUGC
rnacentral:siRNA from 1 species